GACGAACGCUGGCGGCGUGCUUAACACAUGCAAGUCGAACGGAAAGGCCCUGCUUUUGUGGGGUGCUCGAGUGGCGAACGGGUGAGUAACACGUGAGUAACCUGCCCUUGACUUUGGGAUAACUUCAGGAAACUGGGGCUAAUACCGGAUAGGAGCUCCUGCUGCAUGGUGGGGGUUGGAAAGUUUCGGCGGUUGGGGAUGGACUCGCGGCUUAUCAGCUUGUUGGUGGGGUAGUGGCUUACCAAGGCUUUGACGGGUAGCCGGCCUGAGAGGGUGACCGGCCACAUGGGGACUGAGAUACGGCCCAGACUCCUACGGGAGGCAGCAGUGGGGAAUAUUGCACAAUGGGCGGAGGCCUGAUGCAGCAACGCCGCGUGCGGGAUGACGGCCUUCGGGUGGUAAACCGCUUUCGCCUGUGACGAAGCGUGAGUGACGGUAAUGGGUAAAGAAGCACCGGCUAACUACGU
rnacentral:rRNA from 1 species